rnacentral:rRNA from 1 species
GCGGACGGGUGAGUAACACGUGGAUAACCUACCUAUAAGACUGGGAUAACUUCGGGAAACCGGAGCUAAUACCGGAUAACAUGUUGAACCGCAUGGUUCAACAGUGAAAGACGGUCUUGCUGUCACUUAUAGAUGGAUCCGCGCCGCAUUAGCUAGUUGGUAAGGUAACGGCUUACCAAGGCAACGAUGCGUAGCCGACCUGAGAGGGUGAUCGGCCACACUGGAACUGAGACACGGUCCAG